rnacentral:rRNA from 1 species
UACGUAGGUGGCGAGCGUUGUCCGGAAUCAUUGGGCGUAAAGAGCGCGUAGGUGGCUUGUCAGGUCUGAUGUGAAAACCUGGGGCUUAACUCCAGGCCUGCAUCGGAAACCGGCUUGCUAGAGUCUGGGAGAGGAGAGUGGAAUUCCUGGUGUAGCGGUGAAAUGCGUAGAUAUCAGGAGGAACACCGGUAGCGAAGGCGGCUCUCUGGAACAGUACUGACGCUGAGGCGCGAAAGCUAGGGGAGCGAACAGG